UCGAGAAUAUUCCUCAAUGGGCGAAAGCCUGAAGGAGCGACGCCGCGUGCAGGAUGAAGGACUUCGGUCCGUAAACUGCUUUUUUCAGGGAAGAACCAAUGACGGUACCUGAAGAAUAAGAGGUUGCUAACUCUGUGCCAGCAGCAGCGGUAAUACAGAGACCUCAAGCGUUAUCCGGAUUUACUGGGCGUAAAGGGUUCGCAGGUGGUCCUGCGCGUCGAUGGUUAAAUGUACGGGCUCAACCCGUACGCCGCCGUCGAUACGGCAGUGACUAGAGCAUGGAAGAGGUAAGCGGAAUUACCGGUGUAGUAGUAAUAUGCGUUAAUAUCGGUAAGAACACCAAAAGCGUAGGCAGCUUACUGGGACAUUGCUGACACUCAGGGACGAAAGGCGCGGGGAGCGAAAGGGAUUAGAUACCCCUGUAGUCCACGCCUAAACGAUGGAUGCUAGAUA
rnacentral:rRNA from 1 species